CCGAGUUUACAACUCCCAAACCCCUGUGAACAUACCACUUGUUGCCUCGGCGGAUCAGCCCGCUCCCGGUAAAACGGGACGGCCCGCCAGAGGACCCCUAAACUCUGUUUCUAUAUGUAACUUCUGAGUAAAACCACAAAUAAAUCA
rnacentral:misc_RNA from 1 species